UGGCUCUCGCAUCGAUGAAGAACGCAGCGAAAUGCGAUAAGUAAUGUGAAUUGCAGAAUUCAGUGAAUCAUCGAAUCUUUGAACGCACCUUGCACCCCUUGGUAUUCCGAGGGGUAUGCCUGUUUGAGUGUCAUUAAAUUAUCAACUCGAAAACCUUUCGAGGUUAGUCGACGUUUGGAUUUGGAGCGUGCCAGAUAACCCUGGCUCCUCUUUAAAUACAUCCAGUGGAACCUUUGCUGAACCAGUUUCCAGCGUGAUAAUUAUCUACGUUGCCAAACUGCCCAGCGAGCCAGGAUUCGCUUACAACCGUCAUCCCAAGGGUGACAAGGGGAUCUCCCCUUCACAUUGACAAUUUGACCUCAAAUCAGGUAGGACCACCCGCUGA
rnacentral:misc_RNA from 1 species